rnacentral:other from 1 species
AGUCGUAGGAUCGCGUGAUCCUUCGACUCAUUACACAAAAGGGUAAACAAUACCCGCACAAAGGAGUAGUACAAGAUGCCUCAAGGUACAGUAAAGUGGUUUAAUGAUGCAAAAGGUUUUGGUUUUAUCGAACAAGAUGGUGGCAAGGAUGUUUUCGUCCAUCAUACGGCGAUUCAGGCUCAGGGUUUCAAAUCCCUGACUGAAGGCGCGCGGGUCACCUUCGAGGUCGUUGACGGCCCCAAAGGUCCUGCAGCGGCCAAUGUUGUUCAGAACUAAAAGCUGACAGCUUCCACGCAAAAGACCCCGCAGCAAUGCGGGGUCUUUUUU